rnacentral:tmRNA from 1 species
GGGAGCGUACUGGUUUCGACGGGGUUGUUGAGAUCGGGAAAGCGGGUAGAGGAUUCUCGUGGGCCUCUUUAAAAAACGAGAGACUUUUUAAUUGCCAACAAACCGGCAUUUGCAGCGGCGUGAGCCCUGCCGUUCCCGCGGCUAAUCUGCUAACCGCGUAAGAACGUCAACGGCAGACCUUUCUUUCUGGGCAGGUCAAAGAAAGCUCCCGACGGACUAAUGCCUUGGAGUCUCGUUGCGUAUUAAAGGCUACCUCUUCGUUCAAGAUCGCCGCUGAACUUGAUGACAGAGGGAAUUUGAAAACAGCGGCUGCACCCGGAGAUGUCCCUUUUAAGGCGAUUUCGGACAGGGGUUCGACUCCCCUCGCUUCCACCA